UACGAAGGGGGCUAGCGUUGUUCGGAAUCACUGGGCGUAAAGCGCGCGCAGGCGGCUACACAAGUCAGAGGUGAAAGCCCGGAGCCUAACUCCGGAACUGCCCCUGAGACUGUCUGGCUUCGAGUACGGGAGAGGUGAGUGGAAUUCCGAGUGUAGAGGUGAAAUUCGUAGAUAUUCGGAAGAACACCGGUGGCGAAGGCGGCUCACUGGCCCGUUACUGACGCUCAGGCGCGACAGCGUGGGGAUCAAACAGG
rnacentral:rRNA from 1 species